GGCCGGUUAGCUCAGUCAGAGCAUGGUGCUGAUAACACCAAGGUCGUGGGCUCGAUCCCCAUUCAGUCCC
rnacentral:tRNA from 1 species